UACGGAGGGUGCAAGCGUUAUCCGGAUUCACUGGGUUUAAAGGGUGCGCAGGCGGGAAAUUAAGUCAGUGGUGAAAGCCUCGAGCUCAACUUGAGAACUGCCAUUGAUACUGAUUUUCUUGAAUAUAGUUGAGGUAGGCGGAAUACAACAUGUAGCGGUGAAAUGCAUAGAUAUGUUGUAGAACACCAAUUGCGAAGGCAGCUUACUAAACUAUUAUUGACGCUGAGGCACGAAAGCGUGGGGAGCGAAC
rnacentral:rRNA from 1 species